AAUGAACGCUGGCGGCGCGCCUAAUACAUGCAAGUCGAGCGAGAAGACGUAGCAAUACGUUUGUAAAGCGGCGAACGGGUGAGGAAUACAUGGGUAACCUACCCUCGAGUGGGGAAUAACUAGCCGAAAGGUUAGCUAAUACCGCGUACGCUUCUUGGACUUCGGUUCAGGGAGGAAAGCGAUACCGUGGGUAUCGCGCUCUUGGAUGGGCUCAUGUCCUAUCAGCUUGUUGGGAGGUAACGGCUCACCAAGGCUUUGACGGGUAGCUGGUCUGAGAGGACGAUCAGCCACACUGGCACUGCGACACGGGCCAGACUCCUACGGGAGGCAGCAGUAAGGAAUAUUGCGCAAUGGGCGAAAGCCUGACGCAGCGACGCCGCGUGGGGGA
rnacentral:rRNA from 1 species